GACGAACGCUGGCGGCGUGCCUAAUACAUGCAAGUCGAACGCAGUGGGGAAGGGUGAGUAACACGUGGGUAACCUCCCCAUCAGAGGGGAGAACACUUGGAAACAGGUGCUAAACCGACACUGAUGUAUGGACACGCGGUGCAUUAGCUAGUUGGUAAGGUAACGGCGCACCAAGGCCACGAUGCAUAGCCGACGUGAGAGGGUGAUCGGGCACACUGGGACUGAGACACGGCCCAGACUCCUACGGGAGGCAGCAGUAGGGAAUCUUCGGCAAUGGACGAAAGUCUGACCGAGCAACGCCGCGUGAGUGAAGGAGGUUUGCGGAUCUGAAAACUCUGUUGUUAGAGAAGCGGUAUCUAACCAGAAAGCCACGGCUAACUACGUGCCAGCAGCCGCGGUAAUUC
rnacentral:rRNA from 1 species